rnacentral:rRNA from 1 species
GCUUAACAUGCAGUCGAACGGCAGCACGGGAGCAAUCCUGGUGGCGAGUGGCGAACGGGUGAGUAAUACAUCGGAACGUGUCCUGGAGUGGGGGAUAGCCCGGCGAAAGCCGGAUUAAUACCGCAUACGCUCUGUGGAGGAAAGCGGGGGAUCUUUCGGGACCUCGCGCUCAAGGGGCGGCCGAUGGCAGAUUAGCUAGUUGGUGGGGUAAAGGCCUACCAAGGCGACGAUCUGUAGCUGGUCUGAGAGGACGACCAGCCACACUGGGACUGAGACACGGCCCAGACUCCUACGGGAGGCAGCAGUGGGGAAUUUUGGACAAUGGGCGCAAGCCUGAUCCAGCAAUGCCGCGUGUGUGAAGAAGGCCUUCGGGUUGUAAAGCACUUUUGUCCGGAAAGAAAACCUCUGGGUUAAUACCCCGGGGGGAUGACGGUACCGGAAGAAUAAGCACCGGCUAACUACGUGCCAGCAGCCGCGGUAAUACGUAGGGUGCGAGCGUUAAUCGGAAUUACUGGGCGUAAAGCGUGCGCAGGCGGUUCGUUAAGACAGAUGUGAAAUCCCCGGGCUUAACCUGGGAACUGCAUUUGUGACUGGCGGGCUAGAGUAUGGCAGAGGGGGGUAGAAUUCCACGUGUAGCAGUGAAAUGCGUAGAGAUGUGGAGGAAUACCGAUGGCGAAGGCAGCCCCCUGGGCCAAUACUGACGCUCAUGCACGAAAGCGUGGGGAGCAAACAGGAUUAGAUACCCUGGUAGUCCACGCCCUAAACGAUGUCAACUAGUUGUUGGGGAUUCAUUUCCUUAGUAACGUAGCUAACGCGUGAAGUUGACCGCCUGGGGAGUACGGUCGCAAGAUUAAA